rnacentral:rRNA from 1 species
GAGACGCUGGCGGCGUGCCUAACACAUGCAAGUCGAGCGGGGUUGAAGCGAGGGUAACUCGAGUUCUACCUAGCGGCGGACGGGUGAGUAACGCGUGGGCAACCUGCCUCAAGGACUGGGAUAACAGCUCGAAAGGGCUGCUAAUACCGGAUAAGCCUAUGGCCUCGCAUGGGGCCAUGAGCAAAGGGGAAACCUGCCUUGAGAUGGGCCCGCGUCCCAUCAGCUAGUUGGUGAGGUGAAGGCUCACCAAGGCGACGACGGGUAGCCGGCCUGAGAGGGUGACCGGCCACACUGGGACUGAGACACGGCCCAGACUCCUACGGGGGGCAGCAGUGGGGAAUCUUGCACAAUGGGCGAAAGCCUGAUGCAGCGACGCCGCGUGAGCGAAGAAGGCCUUCGGGUUGUAAAGCUCUGUCUGGAGGGACGAAGGAAGUGACGGUACCUCCGGAGGAAGCCACGGCUAACUACGUG